GUGAGGAAUUUUCCGCAAUGGGCGAAAGCCUGACGGAGCAAUGCCGCGUGAAGGAUGAAGGCCUAUGGGUUGUAAACUUCUUUUCUCAGAAAAGAAUUAUGACGGUAUCUGAGGAAUAAGAAUCGGCUAACUCUGUGCCAGCAGCCGCGGUAAGACAGAGGAUGCAAGCGUUAUCCGGAAUGAUUGGGCGUAAAGCGUCUGUAGGUUGUUUAAAAAGUAUUCUGUCAAAGAUUAGGGCUUAACCCUAGAUAGGCAGAAUAAACUUUUAAGCUAGAGUUUGGUAGAGGCAGAGGGAAUUCCCGGUGGAGCGGUGAAAUGCGUAGAUAUCGGGAGGAACACCAAAGGCGAAGGCACUCUGCUGGGCCAAUACUAACACUGAGAGACGAAAGCGAGGGGAGCAAAUGGGAUUAGAAACCCCGGUAGUCC
rnacentral:rRNA from 1 species